rnacentral:misc_RNA from 1 species
UCCGGUUUGUCACCGGCAGUCCCUGGUGACACUCAUAACACCAGGCAAGGGUUGCGCUCGUUGCGGGACUUAACCCAACAUCUCACGACACGAGCUGACGACAGCCAUGCAGCACCGGUGCACCACCCUCGAAGGCUGCCACAUUUCUAUGGCAUGCAGGUGCAUGUCAAAUCUAGGUAAGGUUCUUCGUGUUGCGUCGAAUUAAACCACACGCUCCGCUGCUUGUGCGGGCCCCCGUCAAUUCUUUUGAGUUUUAGCCUUGCGGCCGUACUCCCCAGGCGGAACACUUAUCGCGUUGGCUUCGGCACGGACAGAUUCGACUCCGCCCACACCUAGUGUUCAUCGUUUACGGCGUGGACUAC